UACGUAGGGUGCAAGCGUUAAUCGGAAUUACUGGGCGUAAAGCGUGCGCAGGCGGUGAUGUAAGACAGAUGUGAAAUCCCCGGGCUCAACCUGGGAACUGCAUUUGUGACUGCAUCGCUGGAGUGCGGCAGAGGGGGAUGGAAUUCCGCGUGUAGCAGUGAAAUGCGUAGAUAUGCGGAGGAACACCGAUGGCGAAGGCAAUCCCCUGGGCCUGCACCGUGCUCAUGCACGAAAGCGUGGGGAGCAAACAGG
rnacentral:rRNA from 1 species